rnacentral:misc_RNA from 1 species
GGAAGUAAAAGGCGUAACAAGGUCUCCGUUGGUGAACCAGCGGAGGGAUCAUUACAGGACUCGCAAGACUCCUACAACCCUGUGAACUUAACUAUAAGCACGUUGCUUCGGCGGGUGUCUCGGAGGGGGUUCUCCCUCCCCGAGACGCUAAACCCGCCGGCAGCCUACUAUACUCUGUCUCUUUGCGUUGGCAUCUCGAGUACAAUCAAACAAGUUAAAACUUUCAACAACGGAUCUCUUGGUUCUG